GACGAACGCUGGCGGCGUGCUUAACACAUGCAAGUCGAACGGAAAGGCCCUGCCUUUGUGGGGUCGUCGGGUGGCGGACGGGUGAGUAACCCGUGGGUAACCUGCCCUUGACCUUGGGAGAACCUCAGGAAACUGGGUCUAAUACCGGAAAGGAUCUCCCGCCGCAUGGUGGGGGUGGGAAAGUUUCGGCGGUUGGGGAUGGACUCGCGGCUUAUGAGCUUGUUGGUGGGGUAGUGGCUUACCAAGGCCUUGACGGGUAGCCGGCCUGAGAGGGUGACCGGCCACAUUGGGACUGAGAUACGGCCCAGACUCCUACGGGAGGCAGCAGUGGGGAAUAUUGCACAAUGGGCGGAAGCCUGAUGCAGCAACGCCGCGUGCGGGAUGACGGCCUUCGGGUUGUAAACCGCUUUCGCCUGUGACGAAGCGUGAGUGACGGUAAUGGGUAAAGAAGCACCGGCUAACUACGUG
rnacentral:rRNA from 1 species